rnacentral:rRNA from 1 species
GAGUUUGAUCCUGGCUCAGAUUGAACGCUGGCGGCAUGCCUUACACAUGCAAGUCGAACGGCAGCACGGGAGCUUGCUCCUGGUGGCGAGUGGCGAACGGGUGAGUAAUGCAUCGGAACGUAUCCUGGAGUGGGGGAUAACGUAGCGAAAGUUACGCUAAUACCGCAUAUUCUGUGAGCAGGAAAGCGGGGGACCUUCGGGCCUCGCGCUCUUGGAGCGGCCGAUGUCGGAUUAGCUAGUUGGUGAGGUAAAGGCUCACCAAGGCGACGAUCCGUAGCAGGUCUGAGAGGAUGAUCUGCCACACUGGAACUGAGACACGGUCCAGACUCCUACGGGAGGCAGCAGUGGGAAUUUUGGACAAUGGGGGCAACCUGAUCCAGCCAUGCCGCGUGA